CUCAGAGCUCGUUCAGUCUAGGAAAAACGAAAAGAAAAGCUGAGUGUGGAAGUGUUCUCAUCCUCUGAAGUCUGUGCUUUUCCUUCAGCUCUGUUUGAACCGCUUGGCCCAUUUCAUCCUCUGCAGUUCUUAUGGCUUCUUUAACGGGGAACAAUUCUCAGACUUUCCUGACUGACCUCUCAGGCGGGACGCUGUGGCAGACACACCCUAAGAUGACCCCAAACAACGCUGAAGCAAGAAGCAAGGGGAACACCGCUGAAGAGAGAGGGGAGGAAAGACAAGCUUCCAUACAGCGUGCCACAGCGGCCUCGGGCCCACUCAGCAUCAGCAGGGGGAGGAAAUCCACUCUCCUCUGGGGAGGGUGCUCUCCGUUCCCUCGCAGACUAGGUCGAGAGUAUGUGAGUGAACCUCUGAAUGCUGGAAUGAGAGAGUAAAGAUCGUACCAGAGAACCAAGCACAGCCUUCUCCAGUGACAAACCACCACAUGGACCAUCAAACAAACAUUGAGCGUCUGCGUCCAUCUCUGAACUACUACAAGAGCAUCUCAUCAUAUUUGGACUUUUUA
rnacentral:lncRNA from 1 species